AUACCUUUCUUGGUAUUUUGGUUAAGAUCAAGUGUAUUAUUUAUUCUUAUCAGUUUAAUAUCUGAUACGUGAACCAAUGGAUCACACGAUAUUAAAUUAAUUUUUUUAGGGAAAACUAUUGGGAUCUUUGCGUGUAUCUUUGCGUGUCGCCCAAGUGUUGCAGUAUUGCUCGGGCUGGCGCACCCUAC